UACGGGGGAUGCAGGCGUUAUCCGGAAUUACUGGGCGUAAAGCGUCUGUAGGUGGUCUAAUGUGUUCUUAGUGAAAGCAUGAAGCCUAACUUCAUAAGGUCUAAGAAAACUAUUAGACUUGAGUACAAUAGGGGUAAUAGGAAUUCUUCGAGAAGUAGUGAAAUGCGAAGAUACGAAGGAGAAGACCAGAAGCGAAGGCUUUUUACUGGGUUGUUACUGACACUGAGAGACGAAAGCUAGGGGAGCGAAAGGG
rnacentral:rRNA from 1 species